rnacentral:tRNA from 1 species
GCCUCGAUAGCUCAGGUGGGGGAUCAUUAGGCAGAAGAUCUGAAGGUUUCUGGUUUGAUCCCGGGUCGGGGGA